UACGAAGGGGGCUAGCGUUGCUCGGAAUCAUUGGGCGUAAAGCGCACGUAGGCGGGUCGGUAAGUCGGGGGUGAAAUCCUGGAGCUCAACUCCAGAACUGCCUUCGAUACUGGCGAUCUUGAGUCUGGGAGAGGUGAGUGGAACUCCGAGUGUAGAGGUGAAAUUCGUAGAUAUUCGGAAGAACACCAGUGGCGAAGGCGGCUCACUGGCCCGGUACUGACGCUGAGGUGCGAAAGCGUGGGGAGCAAACAGG
rnacentral:rRNA from 1 species